GCGUUGGUGGUAUAUAGUGGUUAGAAUAGUUGCCUUCCAAGCAAUUGACCCGGGUUCGACUCCCGGCCAACGCA